rnacentral:lncRNA from 1 species
GAGCUUAUAUUCUCGUGGUAGAUGUAAAUAAAAACAUAAGUAGAUGAACAAAUAAAAUAUUAGUUGCUGUGAAGGAAAUAAGAGUAUUAAAUUAGGAUGACCUGUAUUAGGGUGGGAGGACCUAGGCAGGCUCUCCUAGGAGGUGACAUUUAAGCUGAAACCUAAAGAAAAACACCUAGCUACAUAGAGAGUGGGGUGGAAAAGCGUUUCAAACAGAGGGAGCGUGCAGAACUGUUCAUUCAAAAUGUGUUGUGCAUGCAAUGACAAAGAGUAAGAAAAGUACUUGGCCUCUGUAAGAAAUCAAAGACCACUGUAGUUGGCUAGAGUGCAGUGAGAUGAGAUGCAGGUGGGACAAAGUGAAAUAAGAGAUCUAUGUUUUGGCCAAGCAUGGAAAACAUUAGAGGCCAGUCUUCCAUGAACAGUGUGAUAGAUAUUGCUGCAUUCAAAAUCAGAUCACAACAUGGCCCUUCUUAGAUUUCUUGUCCCCAUUACUGAUGCAAUAAUAUAAACAUUUCUUGUGAUGCUAUUCAUGAUCUUCCUGGUCUGGAUGCUGCUUGUGUUUCUUGCCUUCUACCUUAAAACAACCCACAUUCAUAUAUACAAUCUAUAUACUCCAGCUGUGUCUUUUUUUUCUUUUUUUUUUUUUCGAGAUAAGAGUCUUGCUCUGUUGCCCAGGCUGGAGUACAGUGGCGUGAUCUCGGCAACCUCCACCUCCUACGCUCAAGCAAUUCUCCCACCUCAGCCUCCCAAGUAGCUGGGAUUACAAGUUUGUGCCACCACCAUGCCUGGCUAAUUUUUGUGUUUUUUGUAGAGAUGGGGUUUCGCCAUGUUGGCCAGGUUGGUCUCGAACUCCUGGGCUCAAGCAAUCCACCUGCCUUGGCCUCCCGAAGUCAGGGAUUACAUGUCUGUUUUUCACGUUUUGUUUCAUGCUCUUUCCUCAAUUGGAAAAGCUCCAUCUCUGUGUGAUGACCACUAUUUCAUCCUCUCAGACUUAAUCUUAACUUUUACAGGAAGAGUCAAGAUACUGCUCUGUUAUUUCAUAGCCAAUUCUACUAUAAUGUUGGGCUGCUUUACAUCUCUCCCACCAUCCUGGGUGUGCCUGAGGAUGUUAGAGCCUGAUCUUAUGUGCUGUUGUAGUCAUGACACCUGAUGCGGAGCUGGCACUCUAUACAGUUUUAUGGAAGGAAAGAAGGCAGGCAAGCAGGCAGUUUUGUCCAAGUGCACUGGAAUAGAAUACAUGGCAUUCUGAUCCUAUCUAGUUUAAGAUUAAGUCUGUAUUUUUUAAAAAUUGAAUUAAAUUCAACGAACACUUGAAUAUAUGACUUUUAUGCAUGACACAUUAGCCCAGUUAUUUGCAAACAAUGCUUAAUCACCAUAGAAAUUCCUGGCAAAGAAAUGCAUAAAGGAAUGAACACUAGCCCUGCUCCUUGUUACCUGUCAGAUGUUAAGGUAUAGAGAAGCAAAACUCUUCCUGAAUGGAGAGUGUAGGCUGUGUUAAGGAGAGCACAGAGAAGUGCUCCUCUUACAAAAGAAGAAGAGAAGAUUGCUCUUCAACAGCCAAACCAGUAAAAGCCACAUGAUCUAUUUGUGGGAGACAAUUGCAGACUGAAACACACAAAACUGUUAUCAAGGUGACAAAGCUGCAAUCUCAGAAAAAUUGAAAUGUCAUUGCCAUUUGGAAAAUUGGAAUGCCUGAAGCUAUCCAGAAGGCCUCAUCUUCAGAGAAUACAGAGAGGCCCUGAUGGAGACAGACAAUCUCCCCAAACAUCCCAACAUUGUUUAUCCAAGCAUUCACUGUAUCACACUUGAUAAUGGGUGCUACACUAUGGAGAUAUUGACCCGGGCUUGAGGAAGGUCUCUCUGUCUGUCUGG